GACGAACGGUGCGAACGUUAUUCGGAAUCACUGGGCUUAAAGGGCGCGUAGGCGGGCUCGUAAGUCAGGGGUGAAAUCCCACGGCCCAACCGUGGAAGUGCCUCUGAUACUGCGGGCCUCGAGGGGGAUAGGGGCGUGCGGAACUCAGGGUGGAGCGGUGAAAUGCGCAGAUAUCGGGAGGAACACCAGUGGCGAAGGCGACUACCUGGCCUGUUCUUGACGCUGAGGCGCGAAAGCUAGGGGAGCAAACGGG
rnacentral:rRNA from 1 species